rnacentral:rRNA from 1 species
UACGAAGGGGGCUAGCGUUGUUCGGAAUUACUGGGCGUAAAGCGCGCGCAGGCGGCUAUCCAAGUCAGUGGUGAAAGCCCGGAGCUCAACUCCGGAACUGCCAUUGAAACUGUUUAGCUUGAGUAUGAGAGAGGUGAGUGGAAUUCCCAGUGUAGAGGUGAAAUUCGUAGAUAUUGGGAAGAACACCGGUGGCGAAGGCGGCUCACUGGCUCAUUACUGACGCUCAGGCGCGACAGCGUGGGUAGCAAACAGG